ensembl:lncRNA
CAGGGGAUUGAGUGGUCCCCUUCCUACCCGGUUUGCCAUCUUGGUUGGCGGAGGGGAAUGUCACAGUGUGGAAGCCGCCUUCAGGGAGCGAAGGCAUCUGGCCCUUGUGUGUCCACACUGAAAUUUGCUGAGAUGUACUUUGUCUUGUCUAGACUUCAGGUGUUCCCCCAUACUGGAGUGUGUAGGGACUGUGUGGGCUCUCUCCAAUCCAGCUGCCCAGCUCUGCCUGUAGCUUUUUCGUUUCUCAAAGAAAUGGUAGGAUCUUGCUCCUUCCCAGGCUCUACUUAGAAAAAGGGCGUGGGUCCCUUCCGAUUUCAAUUUCCGGGUCUGUCAAGGAUAUCUCUUGUUCUCCUGCUGGCAGCUUUCCCCUUCCAUUCCUGCCCUCCAUUUAUGGCAAUGCUUGGGCUUUGGGGGAGGGGGACAGGAAGCAGGGACACAUUAAACUUUUGAACCCACCUGCUUCCCUCUAAUUCUCUUUUCUCUGAAUCCAGAGCCAUUUAGUUAAUCUAAAGAAGCACUCUUUUUUUUUGAGGAAGAUUAGCCCUGAGCUAACAUCUGCCGCCAAUCAUCCUCUUUUUGCUGAGGAAGACUGGCCCUGAACUAACAUUCGUGCCCAUCUUCCUCUACUUUAUAUGUGGGAUGCCUGCCACAGCAUGGCUUGACAAGUGGUGCAUAGGUCCGCACCCAGAUCCCAACGGGCGAGCCCCAGGCCACCAAAGUGGAAUGUGUGCACUAACCGCUGCACCACUGGCCGGCCCCAGAAACACUUUUCAGUUUGUGGUGGAGGACCACUUUUGUUUUAUUUUCAAUUGUUGUGAAUUAUAUUUUUGGUCCAUACACUGUUCAAUAAGCUGAGUCUGCCAAUCAUGCAUUUGGAUAUUGUGGCAACAUCAGAUUGCUAUAAAAGUUUCUACAUGAUUGCUCUCAGUAUCUGUACUUAACUUAUCACGGGCCAGUAACAGCUAAUGGACCAGCAGUGGUCCAGAGGCCACAUUAACUAACUUGGUAUAGAGGCUCGGUCACCUCCUCAUCUGCUCUUCUAAAUCUGAUAAAGACAUUUGAAAUGAAAAAUUCCAAGAACAAGACUUCUUUUUCCUGUGCAUUCUGCUGUGUCGUUCUUUCCCUAAGCCAGUAGGUGUAGAAUGUUGAGAAAAGUGGUGAUGAGGUCACAGAAAAUAGUGGAAAUGAAAAUUGGAACAGUUAACACAGCAAGUUCCACUCUUGCUGCAAAAAUGAGAAGUAUAAAAUUGUUUUUUUAUUUUAUUUAUUUAUUUAUUUUUGAGGAAGAUUAGCCCUGAGCUAACUACUGCCAAUCCUCCUCUUUUUGCUGAGGCAGACUGGCCCUGAGCGAACAUCCGUGUGCAUCUUCCUCUACUUUAUAUGUGGAACGCCUACCACAGCAUGGCUUUUGCCAAGCGGUGCCACAUCCGCACCCGGGAUCCAAACUGGCGAACCCCGGGCCGCUGAGAAGCCGAACAUGCAAACUUAACCGCUGCACCACCGGGCCAACCCCUAAAAUUGUUUUUUUAAAAAAAGAAAAAGAGAACAAGAGACUAAUCAUAAUUUGUAAAUAGAUUGCAACCUACAAAAACCAAGAGAAUUUUUUUUUAAGAUUGGCACCUGAGCUAACAACUGUUGCCAAUCCUUUUUUUCCCUCCUUCUUCUUCUCCUGAAAGGCCCCCCAGUACAUAGUUGUAUAUUCUAGUUGUGAGUGCCUCUGGUUGUGCCAUGUGGGACGCCGCCUCAGCAUGGCCUGAUGAGCGGUACCAUGUCCAUGCCCAGGAUCCGAACCCACGAAACCCUGGACUGCCAAAGCAGAGCGCACAAACUUAGCCACUUGGCCACAGGGCCAGCCCCUCAAGAGAAUUUUUAUUAAGAGAAUUCAGUAGGAUGGAUGGUUACAAAGAAUAUAAAAAUCAGGAGUGCUUCUAUACUAGAAUAACAUUUAAAAGCAAUAAAAUAAGGGUCUCAUUCACGAUGAUUAUAAAACAAAAUACUUGGAGAUCAAAUAAAUAGGAAGUUACUGAAUAUUUGAAGAAAAUCAUAAAAUCUUACUGAGAUACUUAAAAGAGGAUUUUAUUCAACUAGUAAGUCUAUAUUGUAAAGAGAUGUAAAUUCGUCUGCAAAUGCAAUCCCAUUCUAGUCAAAAUCACAUAGGAGGGGUGAGGAGGACUUGACAAAGUGAUUCUCAGAUGCACCUUGAAAUUAAAGGUAUGAUAAUAGCCAGAAAAAAUUUCAAAGGAGAAUCUUCAGGGGGUACUUACUUUCUUUGACAUUAAGUGGCGUUAUAAAGCUGCAGAAAUUAAAACAGGGUAAUUCUGCACAGACAUCAAAAGGGAAAUCAAUGGAACAGGAAGACUAUCCAAAAAGAUGCCCAAAUAUCAAUAAAAACUGGGUAUAUGAUGAAUGGGUAAUUAAAAUCACAAGAGAGAUGAUGAGUUGUUCAAUAAAUUGUGUUAGAAUAGCUGAUUAGCAAAUGUGCCCAGUUGUCCUGGGUUCCUGUUUGGAUUGUACUUACUCAUCCCUUCAGGCUGUGUGUCACCACGUGACUUGCCUUGGCCAUUGAAAUGUGAGUUGGGGUGAUAUGUGCUACUUAUGAAAAGAAGCUUUAAGGGCCAGUGCACAGUUUCCCUUGUUCUCCCCUCCGCCUUGGUCCCGGAGUGAGGAUAUUGCACAGCAGAGCCCCCAGCUGACCCAUAAUGAAGGUAUAGUGUGAGAAAGAAACAGACCUUUGUUGUUUAAGCCACUGGAUUUGGAAGUUUCUGUUAUGUAGCAUAACCCAGCCUAUCCUGACUGAAACAAUCUCUGUCUUACACUUCACACCUGUCAGAGGAAAAACAGUUCACACCAGUGUAUUAGAAAUGUGAACCAUGGGGCCGGCCCCGUGGCUGAGUGGUUAAGUUCUCGAGCUCUGCUUUGGUGGCCCAGGAUUUCGCCAGUUCGAGUCCUGGGCGCAGACCUGGCAUCGCUCAUCAGGCCAUGCCAAGGCAGCAUCCUGCAUGCCACAACUAGAAGGACGCACAACUAAAAAUACAUAGCUAUGUACCAGGGAGGAUUUGGGAGAAAAAGGAAAAAUAAAAUCUUAAAAAAAAAAAGAAACG